UAAUUGCAAUACACAGUGCAUCAUUCUAUCUCUGCACAAGAAACCUGCUCUGAUUUAAGGGGCUUAAACUCCAACCGUUGGUAUUCAACACCGUGGCUGCAAAGUGUCUGCACAAGCCGGAGAGCAAAGGUCACAGUCUACCCGGGAAAAAUGAUAAUGGGCAAACACCCUUUAUCUUAUCUCUGUAUGUAUAACCAGGCUGUUACCUGUUUACCAAAAGGUCACUCGCAUCACAAACCCCUCACAGGGUCAAUCAAGGUAUCAAGCGCUUCUUAGGGAAAUGAUUAAGGAUGAGGCAAGUAGCAAGGGGCAUUGCACCUUAACGAUUAUGUCAUCAUGUCCUCUUUCCCCUUAUGCGCCCUUCUCUCCUCGUCAUCUAGUUUCUGUGCUUGUAUAAAACUAUUACCGGUAUCUCUAAUCCCCCAUGCCCAUAUCUCCACUGUUUAACCCUCGUACGAAUGAUCAAUAACGUUUUCCCUCAGCAGCUCCACUUUGGCUCUGAUUCAUGCAGUCACCUCCGUACACACUGAUGAGUCAGCAGAAAAGCCCCUCAGCAGAGCACAACUGGGUCAAUUGCACUUGAAGCAGCCGGGCUACAGCGAAACAGGUACCAUAGGUCUGAUAGUCUGAUAACCUGCAGCCGGAGAAGGUAAGAUUAGACCGAUCCUUCAUCGAGAAACCGCCUGAUCUCACGCUCUGCUGCUAAGACACCGCCUGCCACCCACUUGGCUUCUGUAGAGACGUGUCCUCCUUUCUUUAAAAACAGCCCUGUGUAUAUAUUUGUCCAAGAAGCAGCUGACUCGCUAAGGAGCAGCAUGUUUGUCUGUCGUCAUCCAGGUAGAGCAGACCAAAAUGAAACAUCCUUUCACCUUGAAUAUAAUUGGGGAUUUCUCUGAGUUUGGACAUUGUUGGAAACAUUUUUGGAUAAUGUUAAUACACAAGUCAGCAAAAUUUAACAUUAGAAGAAGGUCUCACUCCUCACAAAUGGAUGGAGGGUGACCUUUGUGUUUUGGGCAGAACCCAACAUGCUCUGGCCUGGCGCCAAUCUUUCCCAGUUAAAAAGCAGCCUCCUGAAUAAUGGAUUGAGGCCGGGCUGCAUAAUUCAUCUUUCUUUCCAGUAUGGCAGAGCAUAUUUCACCAAACACCUGGUCCUGGUCCCGUGCCCGGGCCUUCGCUCAGGAAACGACUCGCAUAUCAACCACAGUCACUAGUGUCUCUCCCUCAGCCGCUGUGUCAGUCACACAACCGCCAGAAUUGUGUUUGAGAUGGCUUCAGAGACGCUUACACAUUUAAUAAAAUCAAGUCACGCUGAAAUCUUCCAAAGACGCAUUAUACCAGAGAUGAGCCAGAAAAGAAAAUAGCAACUUAAUGAAACAGCAGUUACAUGAGAAAAGCUACAAUUGCCUCCAGCUGAUGAAGCCACAGUGAGGACAGCUACCCCGACACUGUCUGUGAAGCUGUCAAACCACUUUAGAUGGAACUGCACUUAGAUGAAUGCACAUAGCAAAUCACAGUACAUGUAUAUUUUAUCCCUUCAAGUUUUGUGACUCCGUCUUGACAAAGGUUUUGGAGGUUUGGAGGUUAUUGGCCCUUUAACGGCAACACCUCAGGUUUUAAUCCUCUCAACAGCAACAGCUCCUGCCAAAGUGUUCUCCAGCUAAACACUGAACCACAACCACCUCAGUCACUCCAAUUAAAUCAAAAACAAAACAAAACAAAAUGAAACAUCUUCCCAUGUAUUCCAUUUGUCUAGCCCACAAUCCAGCUGUGUGGUCAAGAAAGCAUUACCGACAGAUCUCCGUCUGACCGAGCGACCCCUAGGAUGUCCCAUGGCCGUCCUAGAUCCACAGGUGACCUGCAGGCCCUAUCUGCAGGUCCUGGUUCACCUGGUGCCGGGCGUUCCCAAUGGGUCCAUUUUCCACCGAAACAGAGCAGGACGUAAGACAAGAAAGCCUCUUAGGAGACCGGCUGAAGGAGCAUGAUAAUCCCCUCUGUGUCUGCUCUGCAACUUCACCUGCUGCUAAUCCAUAACCAGAUUAUCCUACAGCCUGUCUGUGAGGCGGGCGCACAUGUCAGCGCCGGCGCCCUGGCCUGGGUCCUGCAGGUCAGAAGCCUCCUGCCUAGUGGGGGUCAACACUAACUGCUCUGUGGGCACCGGAGAGGCCGCGGCGGGAGGAAACAACACACACAAGACAACAAGUUAAAGCCACUUCCUGCAAAAACAAGAUGUUACAGCUGGAGUCAACACUGCAGAGGCUGCCCUGGGCAUUUGUUCCCACAACACAACACAACACCGUGCAGACACACACACAGGCUCAUGUGUGCAGCAGCUCUUCCUGUGGAUGUGAGCUGAGGUGACACUCAGAUGUGCAGAGCUCAGGGCACCUGCAGGCUGCUCGUCCCUGCAUCUCCAGCCGAGCCUGGAGGGUGAACACCGGCACAGCCCAGCUAACUCCCCCCCACACGCAUGCCGCAGUCCCGGGCAGCUCCGGUUCCAUCACACCCCCCGGUUAACAUGCCGAGCACAUAGUGGGAUCCGCAGGGUUCUGUGCAGGCCGGAUCCCACCAGGGCCGGAUUCCAACAGGGACUCCGAGACCACUUCCCUCUGACAGCAGGGGAACUCCAACACUUGAGAUAAAGGUCGUGUGUGUGUUUACCUCCCUCGCUGUGGAUCUUCUUGGCUCUCCGGUUGAAAUACAUCUUGCUGCUGGAGGACGAGUGUCGGUGAGGCUGGGGCGAGGAGGCCGGAGCGGAGUCAUGCUCAUGGCCCCCCCACAGAGCAGGAGACCACCACCACCACCACCGCCGCUGCUGCUGCUGCUCCGGACCCGGGCUGAGGCUGCUCCUCCUCCGCCUCCUGCUGCUGCUCCUCCUCACGGGUCAUUAUGUCUCUGCUGGAGGAGGUGAUGUGCUGGAGGACGGAGUCAGUCACCGCGGAGACAGGAGGAGGGAGAUGGGGACGACUUCCGGCUUUCAAAACAAAGCGCGUCGAAAUCGCUACAGUGUAUCUAAUAAAUCCACAUUCAAUUUGGACUUGUUUACUUUAUCUGUUUCAGAGUUCAGAUAUGUAUUUUGUAUUUAAUUCUCAACUGCAUGGACAGUUUUUUAAAUUUUGUAUCAAUAUUUUACAUAACUAUUAUUAUAUCACUAUUACUAUUAUUAUUAUGUAUACUGUUGCUGCCAUUAUUACU